UGCUGACAAACAGACUACAAAAUCUUUUAAUGUAAUACAGCUCUAAGACUCAUGGAGACUACUGCUAUCAUCGUUGCUGCUGCUCUACACAAUUACUGGGAGAAUCUUACUCUGUAACAUACCACAAUCACUGACCAAAGCAAAGAAAGGGUGCGCCCUCCAUUCACUGCUGCAGGGCCCAAAGAGAGCCAGUGUGAGGACUGCCAAUGUGAACUGACAGGUGAUAAAUGUUGGACCAGUGGGAUCUGACCACUAUGAUCCACAGAUUGGAGCAACAUGGGGCACUGGACCCACCACACUAGCAUGGCCGGGAGAGGAGUUGAAUGAAGCGGUCUGAGAAGAACAAAACAUACAUAUGGUUUUCAAAGCUCACCAAAGACUCUGGCCACAAAACCUAGAGGGAACUGAGAUGCAAACAU